rnacentral:rRNA from 1 species
GACGAACGCUGGCGGCGUGCCUAAUACAUGCAAGUCGAACGGAAAGGCGCGGAUCUUGCGGGUUGCUCGAUAGGCGAAGGGGGGAGUAACACACGAGGAAACUGUCCCUGUCAGUGGGAUAACUUCAGGAAACUGGGGCUAAUACCGGAUAGGAUAUCCUGAUGCACGGGGGGGGUUGGAAAGUUUCGGCGGUUGGGGAUGGACUAGCGGCUUAUCAGCUUGUUGGUGGGGUAGUGGCUUACCAAGGCUAUGACGGGUAGCCGGCCUGAGAGGGUGACCGGCCACAUUGGGACUGAGAGACGGCCCAGACUGCUACGGGAGGCAGCAGUCGGGAAUAUUGCGCAGUGGGCGGGAGCGUGAUGCAGCGACGCCGCGUGCGGGAUAACCGCUUUCGGGUUAUAAACCGCUUUCGCAUGUGCCGAAGCCUGAGUGACGGUAAUGGGUAAAGAAGCACCGGCUAACUACGUG